rnacentral:rRNA from 2 species
GGGUGUAGAAUAAGUGGGAGCUUCGGCGCCGGUGAAAUACCACUACCUUUAUUGUCUUUUUACUUAUUCAAUGAGGCGGAGCUGGGAUUAAUAGUCCCACCUUUUGGCUUCAAGGUCUUUUACAGGCCGAUCCGGGUUGA